rfam:Triticum aestivum genome assembly, contig: Triticum_aestivum_CS42_TGACv1_scaffold_641045_T_1AL-0.191504_6BS-0.189179
UCCGGCCUCCCUCCGUCCGAAAAUACUUGUCAUCAAAAUGGAUGUAUCUAGAUGUAUUUUAGUUCUAGACACAUCCAUUUUGAUGAUAAGUAAUUCCGGACAGAGGGAGUACUUG